AUGAACUGGACGACAAUGGCCACUUUGAAGCAAAUGACGAGGAGGGAGAGGGCAAAGCUUCCCCCCCCACCCGCACAACCGAUGCACAAGGUCGAGAUCCUCCUCUGGGCGAUGGAGCAGGCCGAUUCGUCCAGCCCGUGGACCAGGCGUAGGUGGUGGGCGUUCAGAUCCAGGGUAGAGCAUCCACUGGAUCAGGAACCCACGGUGCACGAGGUGCCGUUGCAGAUUGUGGAGCCUCCAACCGAGUCGGAGAUGACUCAGAAGCGCAAGAGGAGGAGGACAGUGGUCGCGACAUCGCUUCCCUGCCGUUCUCCACGCUUCCCUCGCCGCUCUCCUCGUCUGAACGGCGGCCGUAGCUAUGUUUAG
rnacentral:rRNA from 1 species